UGCAACGUUGGCAGGAAGGGGGACCAGGGCCGCUGCCACGUGACCCUACAGCUGUGUGCGCCCGGACAUCUGGAGCUCAGCUCCGCCCUGGCGCCGCGGGAACGCUGUCUCCAAGUGGAGACUAAUCUCUGAAAGGGAUCCUCACGGUCAGCUCUCUCUCCGGAAGGCUCAGAGAGGUGAGUUCUGGUCUUCGUUCUGACUUGAACUCCCCAAUUCUGCCUUUCCAGGGGACAGGAAGAAGCACUAGCCUUUUUGGUUAGUUUCCCACCCUUGCCUCUCCGGAGCCAGAAGGGAGCCGGAAGGGAGCCCCAGCGCAGGCGGGCUUGGCAUCCCCCGGCCCCUCCCAGGCCAUCCUUGGAAGUGCCUCUUUUAUGCAUACCAGAAGCCCUGGUUCCCCAAGUACGCGGAGCCACCUUUCUCCUGGUUCUGACAGGCCCACCAGCAGACACAGCACACACACAAGGACCAAGAGGACUGCUUGCUGAGUUCUCACAGCCCUGGCAGCAGCUGUCAUGGGCCAUGCCCAGAUGAGGAUAUUCCUUCUCAGGGAGUCAGGUGACUCGCCCAGGAUCAAACAGACAGAAGAGGCAGUUCUGAGUCCUCUAGUCCCUAGUGGCCCAGGCCAGCAUGGCCUACUGCAGGAGGAAAUCACCAUGCCUGGGCCCACUGCAGGCCAGACAGGCUGGCAGGGAUUGGUUCAGCUUGGGGAACUCCCGAAGUAGAGUCCCACACUGAUCGUGAACUGACUACAGACAAGAUUCGUGUGUUUUGUUCACCACAGUAUUUGCAGCACCCAGGAUGAUGCCUAG